ACGGAGGAUGCAAGCGUUAUCCGGAUUCAUUGGGUUUAAAGGGUGCGUAGGCGGCUCUUUAAGUCAGUGGUGAAAUCCUGCCGCUUAACGGUAGAAUUGCCAUUGAUACUGAAGAGCUUGAGUACAAUUGAGGUAAGCGGAAUGUGUAGUGUAGCGGUGAAAUGCUUAGAUAUUACACAGAACACCAAUUGCGAAGGCAGCUUACUAAACUGUUACUGACGCUGAUGCACGAAAGCGUGGGGAGCGAACAG
rnacentral:rRNA from 1 species